UUUAUAUACAAUAAUAGCAUUGUAGCGGGUAUAGUUUAGUGGUAAAA
rnacentral:tRNA from 2 species